rnacentral:rRNA from 1 species
UACGUAGGGUGCGAGCGUUAAUCGGAAUUACUGGGCGUAAAGCGUGCGCAGGCGGUUUGCUAAGACAGGUGUGAAAUCCCCGGGCUUAACCUGGGAACUGCGCUUGUUACUGGCAGGCUUGAGUGUGGCAGAGGGGGGUGGAAUUCCACGUGUAGCAGUGAAAUGCGUAGAGAUGUGGAGGAACACCGAUGGCGAAGGCAGCCCCCCUGGGCUAACACGUGACGCUCAUGCACGAAAGCGUGGGGAGCAAACAGG